rnacentral:rRNA from 1 species
CGCAGCCGCGGUAAUUCCAGCUCCAAUAGCGUAUAUUAAAGUUGUUGCAGUUAAAAAGCUCGUAGUUGAAUUUCGGGAUUGACGUGAUGGUCAUGCCUUAAGGGGUAUGAACUGUCACAGUUGAUUUCUCACCUUCUGGAGAAACUUGAUGUCCUUUAUUGGGCGUCUUGCGGAUCCAGGACCUUUACCUUGAAAAAUUAGAGUGUUUAAAGCAGGCAUUUUUGCUCGAAUACAUUAGCAUGGAAUAAUAGAAUAGGACGGCAUGGUUCUAUUUUGUUGGUUUCUAGGAUCACCGUAAUGAUUAAUAGGGAUAGUUGGGGGCAUUAGUAUUCAAUUGUCAGAGGUGAAAUUCUUGGAUUUAUUGAAGACUAACUACUGCGAAAGCAUUUGCCAAGGAUGUUUUCAUUAAUCAAGAACGAAAGUUAGGGGAUCGAAGACGACCAGAUACCGUCGUAGUCUUAACCAUAAACUAUGCCGACUAGGAAUCAGACGAUGUUAAUUUUUAAUGUACUCGUUUGGC